rnacentral:lncRNA from 1 species
GCCCCUUCACCCUCAUAUCCCACUUUCAAAGUUCCAUUAACAUCUCAAAAUUCACUAAAUAUAGCCUUUUCAAGAUCAUCCAUCCAUGGUUUAGACAUGAAGGGUCAUUAGGAGCUUAAUCUCUUUUAUUCUUCUUGUUUAAACACUUGCAACAUUGUUGUGAUACAAUUCAAGGACAAUGCAAGUGAGGAGAUGAUGCAUAGGACUUAUCAAGACAUACUUAGGCGGACCUGUGCCUUAGUGACUUAAAACGAGACAAGAACUAGUUAAUUUAUGUUAUGUAUUCUUUGGUUCUUGUUUAAGACAAUGUAAACUUUCAUGUUUGAUUAAUAAAACGAAACUUCGUUUACCAUGGAUUU